rnacentral:misc_RNA from 1 species
AGUUCGAUUUAAACAGCGACACAAGCGAUUUCGAAACGGAAAGGAAAGAAGUUAUCUAAUACAAUGCCUAGACGUAAAAGAGCAGGAGAUCUUGCCAGUUCUGCAGCGAAACGGCGGAAACAAAAAGAAUAUCGAAGAAAUGAAACGGAAGAAGAGCACGAAGCACGUUUACAAAAUCAACGAACCAGAAUGAGCACCCCGAGAAGCAGAAAAAGCGAAGAA